CUUGAGACUAUCAGCUCCUCAGCUGGUUUACAGAGAAGCUCCUGGGAGAAUGCAAAUCUCAGGAAGGCAGCGAUUUCAGCCUAGCACAUAGAGGAAGCUGGAAGGUGGGAAAGAAGAGGUGUGGAGCUAGCUGCAUCUGGCCCAGACUCCAGUUCUGAUGCCUAUUUGCUGUGUGGUCCCAUGCAGGGAUUUGACCUCUCUGGGCUCAGCCUCAUCUGAAGGUGUAAUCUCGCACUUAAGUAAGUGGCCACGGAUACCGAGGCCUGUUUUGUCUCCACUGUGCUGAUUGUUGCAGACUGACACACUCUCAGUCACGAUCUGAAGUAUCUCCUGCCUGACUUUCUUCUCUGGAUGUCAAAUCCUGUCUCUUGUCCCUUGUGGAAGCCCUGGCACCUAGAAGUUACUAGAGCAUGGAGUUGUUGAGUGACUACUUUCAGGAUGUGUGAAGUGUGCUGUGGUCACUAGGACUGGGCAGAGUGUCCAAGGCAUUCAGAAGUCGAGAUCCAGGGCCAGACUAUGGCCACACUGGGGUGUGGUGGAUGCCAUUCAUGGGGCUCCUGAGACAGGAAGGCCCAGGCAGGGCAGUUUUCUCAGGGCUGGGAAAAGGAGAUGCUUAGAGACAAGAAGUCUUCCCUAGCAA
rnacentral:lncRNA from 1 species